UCUCCGUAGGUGAACCUGCGGAGGGAUCAUUACUGAGUGAGGGCUUCGGUCCGACCUCCAACCCUUUGUGAACACAACUUGUUGCUUCGGGGGCGACCCUGCCGUUUCGAUGGCGAGCGCCCCCGGAGGCCUUCAAACACUGCAUCUUUGCGUCGGAGUCUUAAAGAAAUUUAAACAAAACUUUCAACAACGGAUCUCUUGGUUCUGGCAUCGAUGAAGAACGCAGC
rnacentral:misc_RNA from 1 species